rnacentral:rRNA from 1 species
GUGUCAGCCGCCGCGGUAAUACAGAGGUCCCGAGCGUUGUUCGGAUUCACUGGGCGUAAAGGGUGCGUAGGUGGUGAGGUGUGUCGGAUGUGAAAUCUCGGAGCUCAACUCCGAAAUGGCAUUGGAAACUACCUUGCUGGAGGGUUGGAGGGGGGACUGGAAUACUUGGUGUAGCAGUGAAAUGCGUAGAUAUCAAGUGGAACACCGGUGGCGAAGGCGAGUCCCUGGACAAUUCCUGACACUGAGGCACGAAAGCUAGGGGAGCAAACAGGAUUAGAUACCCUGGUAGUCCUAGCCGUAAACGGUGCACGUUUGCUGUAAAAGGAAUCGACCCCUUUUGUGGCGUAGCCAACGCGUUAAACGUGCCGCCUGGGAAGUACGGUCGCAAGAUUAAA